GAUCAUUGAAUCGAUCAAAUCCACCAUGCGAACCGUUCUGUCUCCCUCCUGGGGCCCCUCGCGGGGCCGCUUGAGCGGCUAGGAUGCGUUCCUAGUCGGGCCUACCGCCUCCCUGGGAGGCGACUAGGUCGGCGCUUCUAAUUAACUCCACACCAAAACACCGUCUAAAGCUAUGUGCGCAUUGCCCAGCGCGAUCGCAUCUAACCUAAGACAACUCUCAACAACGGAUAUCUUGGCUCUUACAACGAUGAAGAACGCAGCGAAAUGCGAUACGUAGUGUGAAUUGCAGAAUUCCGUGAACCAUCGAAUCUUUGAACGCAUAUUGCGCUCGAGGCCUCGGCCAAGAGCACGCCUGCCUCAGAGUCGGUUAACUCCCUCAGCCCCACCCCAACUCCCCCUGGAGUUUUGGGCGGGCCUGGAGCUGGCAGUCUCAGCGCGCCUGGGUCUGCUGAAGUAGAGAGAUCUGACAGGACCCUUACUAAGGGCAAACACUAGGUAGGUAGCCUUCGGGUUAUUCCUGUGUGUGUCCAAGGCCUGGCUGUGAUCCGCAGGAAACAACAAUUAACCAUUCGACCUGAGUUCAGACGAGACUACCCGCCGAACUUAAGCAUAUCAAUAAGGCGGAGGAA
rnacentral:rRNA from 1 species